rnacentral:rRNA from 1 species
GACGAACGCUGGCGGCGUGCUUAACACAUGCAAGUCGAACGUGAUUUUUGUGGAAAUUCUUUCGGGAAUGGAAAUGAAAUGAAAGUGGCGAACGGGUGGGUAACACGUGAGCAACCUACCUUACACAGGGGGAUAGCCGUUGGAAACGACGAUUAAUACCGCAUGAGACCACAGAAUCGCAUGAUAUAGGGGUCAAAGAUUUAUCGGUGUAAGAAGGGCUCGCGUCUGAUUAGCUAGUUGGAAGGGUAAAGGCCUACCAAGGCGACGAUCAGUAGCCGGUCUGAGAGGAUGAACGGCCACAUUGGAACUGAGACACGGUCCAAACUCCUACGGGAGGCAGCAGUGGGGAAUAUUGCACAAUGGGGGGAACCCUGAUGCAGCGACGCCGCGUGAGCGAAGAAGGUUUUCGAAUCGUAAAGCUCUGUCCUAUGAGAAGAUAAUGACGGUAUCAUAGGAGGAAGCCCCGGCUAAAUACGUG